rnacentral:rRNA from 1 species
GACGAACGCUGGCGGCGUGCUUAACACAUGCAAGUCGAACGGAAAGGCCCUGCUUUUGUGGGGUGCUCGAGUGGCGAACGGGUGAGUAACACGUGAGUAACCUGCCCUUGACUUUGGGAUAACUUCAGGAAACUGGGGCUAAUACCGGAUAGGAGCUCCUGCUGCAUGGUGGGGGUUGGAAAGUUUCGGCGGUUGGGGAUGGACUCGCGGCUUAUCAGCUUGUUGGUGGGGUAGUGGCUUACCAAGGCUUUGACGGGUAGCCGGCCUGAGAGGGUGACCGGCGACAUUGGGACUGAGAUACGGCCCAGACUCCUACGGGAGGCAGCAGUGGGGAAUAUUGUACAAUGGGCGGAAGCCUGAUGCAGCAACGCCGCGUGCGGGAUGACGGCCUUCGGGUUGUAAACCGCUUUAGCCUGUGACGAAGCGUGAGUGACGGUAAUGGGUAAAGAAGCACCGGCUAACUACGUG